rnacentral:rRNA from 1 species
UACGGAGGGUGCAAGCGUUGCUCGGAAUUAUUGGGCGUAAAGGGUAGGUAGGUGGUCUCGUUUGUCUGCGGUGAAAGCCUUGGGCUUAACCUAAGAAGUGCCGCAGAAACGGCGAGACUCGAGUCCUGGAGAGGGUCGUGGAAUUCCUGGUCGUAGCGGUGAAAUGCGUAGAGAUCAGGAGGAACAGCCCGAGGCGAAAGCGGCGACCUGGACAGGCACUGACACUCAACUACGAAAGCGUGGGGAGCAAACAGG